rnacentral:tRNA from 1 species
UUCCUGGUGGCUCAGAGGUAAAGAAUCUGCCUGCAAUGCAGAAGACACAGGUUUGAUCCCUGGUCAAGAAG